rnacentral:tRNA from 1 species
GCCGGGAUGGUGGAAUGGUAGACACACGGGACUCAAAAUCCCGCGAUAGCAAUAUCAUGAGAGUUCGAGUCUCUCUCCCGGCA